rnacentral:rRNA from 1 species
AUGAACGCUGGCGGCGUGCCUAAUACAUGCAAGUCGAGCGCACGGACGAGAAGCUUGCUUCUCUGAUGUUAGCGGCGGACGGGUGAGUAACACGUGGAUAACCUACCUAUAAGACUGGGAUAACUUCGGGAAACCGGAGCUAAUACCGGAUGAUAUUUUGAACCGCAUGGUUCAAAAGUGAAAGACGGUCUUGCUGUCACUUAUAGAUGGAUCCGCGCUGCAUUAGCUAGUUGGUAAGGUAACGGCUUACCAAGGCAACGAUGCAUAGCCGACCUGAGAGGGUGAUCGGCCACACUGGAACUGAGACACGGUCCAGACUCCUACGGGAGGCAGCAGUAGGGAAUCUUCCGCAAUGGGCGAAAGCCUGACGGAGCAACGCCGCGUGAGUGAUGAAGGUCUUCGGAUCGUAAAACUCUGUUAUUAGGGAAGAACAUAUGUGUAAGUAACUGUGCACAUCUUGACGGUACCUAAUCAGAAAGCCACGGCUAACUACGUG